GGCAGGCUUAACACAUGCAAGUCGAACGGGCACUUCGGUGCUAGUGGCAGACGGGUGAGUAACACGUGGGAACGUACCUUUCGGUUCGGAAUAAUUCAGGGAAACUUGGACUAAUACCGGAUACGCCCUUCGGGGGAAAGAUUUAUCGCCGAUAGAUCGGCCCGCGUCUGAUUAGCUAGUUGGUGAGGUAAUGGCUCACCAAGGCGACGAUCAGUAGCUGGUCUGAGAGGAUGAUCAGCCACAUUGGGACUGAGACACGGCCCAAACUCCUACGGGAGGCAGCAGUGGGGAAUAUUGGACAAUGGGCGCAAGCCUGAUCCAGCCAUGCCGCGUGAGUGAUGAAGGCCUUAGGGUUGUAAAGCUCUUUUGUCCGGGAAGAUAAUGACUGUACC
rnacentral:rRNA from 1 species